GCCCUACUAGUAUAUCGGUUAGUACACGCGCCUGUCAUCGUUGUUUCAAACGCGCGAAAGCUGGGUUCGACUCCCAGCCAGGGAGCG